GAUGAAGAACGUAGCGAAACGCGAUAUGUAAUGUGAAUUGCAGAAUUCAGUGAAUCAUCGAAUCUUUGAACGCACAUGGCGCCUUCCAGUAUCCUGGGAGGCAUGCCUGUCCGAGCGUCGUUUCAACCCUCGAGCCCCCGUGGCCCGGCGUUGGGAUCUGCCCAGGCAGUCCCCGAAAACCAGUGGCGGACCCGUUACAGGCCCUUCCCUUGCGUAGUAGCAUUCGCCUCGCAUCGGGAGCCGGCGGGCUUCCAGCCUCUAAACCCCCAUCAAGUCCGCCCCGGCGGCACCAAGGUUGACCUCGGAUCAGGUAGGAAUACCCGCUGAACUUAAGCAUAUCAAUAAGCGGAGGA
rnacentral:misc_RNA from 1 species